UCGGGGUGGAUUAGUGGCGAACGGGUGAGUAACACGUGGGCAAUCUGCCCUUCACUCUGGGACAAGCCCUGGAAACGGGGUCUAAUACCGGAUACCACUCCUGCCUGCAUGGGCGGGAGUUGAAAGCUCCGGCGGUGAAGGAUGAGCCCGCGGCCUAUCAGCUUGUUGGUGGGGUAAUGGCCCACCAAGGCGACGACGGGUAGCCGGCCUGAGAGGGCGACCGGCCACACUGGGACUGAGACACGGCCCAGACUCCUACGGGAGGCAGCAGUGGGGAAUAUUGCACAAUGGGCGAAAGCCUGAUGCAGCGACGCCGCGUGAGGGAUGACGGCCUUCGGGUUGUAAACCUCUUUCAGCAGGGAAGAAGCGAAAGUGACGGUACCUGCAGAAGAA
rnacentral:rRNA from 1 species